rnacentral:rRNA from 1 species
UCCUGGUGUAGCGGUGAANUGCGCAGAUAUCAGGAGGAACACCGAUGGCGAAGGCAGGUUACUGGGCAGUUACUGACGCUGAGGAGCGAAAGCAUGGGGAGCGAACAGGAUUAGAUACCCUGGUAGUCCAUGCUGUAAACGGUGGGCGCUAGGUGUGGGCUGUGUGUUUGCAGUCUGUGCCGUAGCUAGCGCAUUAAGCGCCCCGCCUGGGGAGUACGGCCGCAAGGCUAAAACUCAAAGGAAUUGACGGGGGCCCGCACAAGCGGCGGAGCAUGUGGAUUAAUUCGAUGCAACGCGAAGAACCUUACCUGGGUUUGACAUGCACCAGAUCGGCGUAGAGAUACGUCUUCCCUUGUGGUUGGUGCACAGGUGGUGCAUGGUUGUCGUCAGCUCGUGUCGUGAGAUGUUGGGUUAAGUCCCGCAACGAGCGCAACCCUUGUCUUAUGUUGCCAGCACAUUUUUGGUGGGGACUCAUGAGAAACUGCCGGGGUCAACUCGGAGGAAGGUGGGGAUGACGUCAAAUCAUCAUGCCCUUUAUACCCAGGGCUUCACACAUGCUACAAUGGUCGGUACAACGGGUUGCGACACUGUGAAGUGAAGCUAAUCUCUCAAAGCCGGCCUCAGUUCGGAUUGGGGUCUGCAACUCGACCCCAUGAAGUCGGAGUCGCUAGUAAUCGCAGAUCAGCAACGCUGCGGUGAAUACGUUCCCGGGCCUUGUACACACCGCCC